CCUGGCCCUGGAGGCAUUCCCUUGAAGGUAUGGAUGCUCUGUCACAUGUGUGAGUAAGUGGCAGAGAGGACAGAGGCUAUGUCUACGCUCAGUAUUUUGACCUAUGAAUGUUAAAUGAUUGGUAGACUAGCAUU